rnacentral:rRNA from 1 species
GACGAACGCUGGCGGCGUGCUUAACACAUGCAAGUCGAACGGUAAGGCCCUUCGGGGUACACGAGUGGCGAACGGGUGAGUAACACGUGGGUGAUCUGCUCUGCACUUCGGGAUAAGCCUGGGAAACUGGGUCUAAUACCGGAUAGGACCAUGGACUUCACGGUUUGUGGUGGAAAGCUUUUGCGGUGUGGGAUGGGCCCGCGGGCCUAAUCAGCUUGUUGGUGGGUAAUGGCCUACCAAGGCGACGACGGGUAGCCGGCCUGAGAGGGUGUCCGGCCACACUGGGACUGAGAUACGGCCCAGGACUCCUACGGGAGGCAGCAGUGGGGAAUAUUGCACAAUGGGCGCAAGCCUGAUGCAGCGACGCCGCGUGAGGGAUGAC